GAAUGAAGUACUAAUAAACCCUAAGCAGCCGCCGCCUAGCCGCCGCCGUCUUGGUAAGGCUCGCCUCUCCGCGGAUGCUCGCAAGAGAAAGCUGAAAAAGCUCGGAGAUUGUGUGUUGACAUCAGCUUCGUCUCUUUAUGUCUGUGAGAUGGGAGUUAAAUGACAGCACGAAAUUCCAUUCUCUUUGGGUGCACUGGUGCAGUCCUCCCCACCUACAAGGAUCAGCCACCAUCACUGCCGCUGCUGCACCAUUGCAGCUUUCCUUUCUGGUCUGUGUUUUCGUGUUGCCUUCUACAUGUUCAAUUUGAUUUCUUUUCAUGGAUCAAUGGUAUAUGAUUUUUUUUCCUGUGUGUUUUGAAUCGUCCUCUCUUGCUCCUUAAGGUUGGGGCACCAAUAUCUCCAUGGUGUCACCAUCUUUGCAAGAAGGGGAUAGAUCGACGCGUCAAGAAAUCGUUUCUGUUGCCAUGGCUCCAGUAGGCAAUACGAUUGUUGCUUGCGUACAAUUUUUUCUUGACGCAGACUAGUUUCUUUUCUUGUGCUCUGCUGUAAAAAUUCUGUUUAUAUCUGUUCUGUUCAUGCACGGUGCUAACCCCGGGCUUGUCGGAUUGGAAUCCUCUGAAGAAUGAAGCCCCAAUGCCUGUGCUAGAUCCACCAUGCCAUUCAGUGUUGCAGGUCAUGAUGCUUCGAGCUCGUGAUUGGUCUGUGUCAGCGUAAUGGAUACAUUUCAAAACUAUAUCUUUCUUAGUGUUUUCUAUUUUUUUCCCUUGGAGUUUGAUGGCUGAUGGCAGUGAUUUGACAUUACCCGCACUUCUGAUCUAAUCCGUGAAGCAAAGGGAAAAAUAAUGGUUGAAUUUCUUAAUAUGAGCCGUUCAUUCAGCUAUCAUAUUUCCUCUAAAGUAUUUCUGUUUGUGUUCAUUAGAUUUACUUUGUUAGAUUUGGUGGUUUGGCAAUGAUGAUACAAACUUUCAGCUUACCAUGCCAGUUCUGCUUCUGAGAAUUCAUGACAGAUAAAGCUGAUAUAGAUCUGAGCUGAAUGUUUUUCUUUUUCUAUUAUGAGUUUGUAAUGUAGCAUCCAAAUAUGAAAUAUCUAAUGUGCCCAUGAUGAGCUGCCCAAUGAUUAGAGGGUGUAGUUGGCUCAAGUUCCUGUUCAUCAGGAAGAACCUACUUGCAGCUGCUGCAUUCACAUGUUAUCAACGGGCUUCCUGAGGUCAUAGAUACACUUCUUGUUCUGCUCGUCCAUCAAAUUCCGUAUUGUAGUAUCAGGGAUUCUUUUCUAGUUGAUACACAUUGAUUUGCUAGUUUUUUUUUAAAUGGAAAAUUCUGAUUGAGCAUUGAAUUAAUUUUCAUUGAGCAUUAUCGUGCUGCUUGCUCUUCUGCAGGAAUCUCCAUGAUACAAAACAAAACCAACCCUAGAUGUGUUCUAUUGCUGACACAGGGAGUUGUAAGUACAUGUUAAAUGGUGGCAUACUAUACAGCUGUACAAUAGACGCAAGAAACAAUAACCACUUACAUGCCAUCCUCCACCCUGAAAUAGAAAACCAUUUUUAGCAUGUUGGUGCUUCAUUUUGUAUUCCAUUGGGAUAUAAAAAUGGUAGAGAACAACCAUUUUUAACCCAAUUUUGUAUUCCUUUGCGGAUAUAAAUAUGGUAUAGAUUGUAACUUGAUAUC